rnacentral:lncRNA from 12 species
CAGGAGGGGUCCUUCCAGCCCUGAUGCUGAAGGUUCUGAGGCUCCAUCUUUCACACGGUGUGGGAGGCUCCGGAGGCCUGGGCCUUGCUGAGCGGCCCAGAUGGUGGAGGUCAUGCAGAUCCCCAGCUUCCCCUCCACCUCGAGGGCUUUCAUCAGGACACCUAGCUGCCCCAGGACAUCUUUGAGGGGAAGAUGAGGGGUAGAGGAGGUGGCCCCAACCGAGGCCUCAGUUUGGAGCUAGGUCUGGCUGCAACCUCCACCACUCAGCCUCCUCACCUCUCACCUCCAGAGCUGAUUCACCCCCGAGAGUUCCAGAACCUGCACCCAUGCUCGCCUCCGACGGCAGCGGCCAUGAGCUACUCACCAGGAUUCAUCUGUGCUUGGUGGUGGAGUCUCCAGGUCUCGAAAAGCCUGAGGGUUGGUGGUGAUGUGAAGGACUUCCCAUGUGGCUUUGACAUGCCCUCUUUCUGCCCUCCUCUCCUCCAUCCCUGGGCAGCCUGACUCAGCCACAGGAGGCAGCCAGAGCCAGGAAGGAGAAGUCCAGCUUGGUGACAUUGCAGGGACAUGGAACCGCCUGGCUUUUCCAUCCCUGGACAUGGGUCCAGUCACAAAACUGAGUAAAGUCGGAUCUCGGGCGCUGUCCCCCGUGGUACCCCCCCUGCCCCCACACCUGCUGCAUGACUGUUUCUACCUCAGGACCCUUUGCGGGGUCAUUCCACUGCCUGGGUACCUCCCUGUCCUGCUUAAAUAUCACCUCCCCCCAAAGGGCCUUCCUUAACGAUCCUACCCAAAGGUGUCACCCUGAAACUUUCUCUUUCCGCACCCCACUGUUUAAUACAUAAAAUUCAUCACAGUUUAUAAUCAGUUCAACCAUCUAUCUCGUUAUCAUCUAUUUCACUACUAUUCAUUAUAACGAUGGCCCUCCCGCGAUACUGUCACCUAAAACAGAGCAGGGCCCAUAUGGGUGCCCGAUAAAUGUUUGUUGAUGGUCAGCAAACAGUUCUUGAAAACCUGCACGAGGGAGAUAACGGUUCACCUGGCUUUGGGAGGUGGAGAGGUUGCUAGAAAGGUAAAGAAAGGACGUAUUUAUCUGUAUCAAUAGAAAACUUGACCAUCAGUAGCUCAACUCAUAAAGG